rnacentral:misc_RNA from 1 species
AACGCACCUUGCGCUCUUUGGUAUUCCGAAGAGCAUGCCUGUUUGAGUGUCAUGAAAAUAUCAACCUUGACUUGGGUUUUGUGCUCGAGUCUUGGCUUGGAUGUGGGUGCUUGCCGCUUUAACGAGCGGCUCACCUUAAAUGUAUUAGCUGGAUCUGUCUUUGAGACUUGGUUUGACUUGGCGUAAUAAGUAUUUCGCUAAGGACAUUCUUCGGAAUGGCCUCGUUUCUGGGACGCUUGUCCGCUUUCCAAUACAAGUUCCAUUCGUGGACAUGACUUUUUAUUAUCUGGCCUCAAAUCAGGUAGGACUACCCGCUGAACUUAA